UGUGGAUAUUGAGGUUGAUUUCUCUGAUUAAUGUCAAAAAUCAUCUGCUAUAGGGAAGAAGGGCUGAUAUCCUUUAAUUUUUUGAUAGACUAUAUGUAAAGAUUUCUCUGGAAAUCUAAGAACCACACAGGAGGGGACUUGAAUUAUACUAAAAAUCAAACUCCUUUUUCAAGAAGAUCAAGGGACCAUAAAAGAGCUUUGCCCAGCCUGGAAUACCCGUUUCCUAAGUCCUUAUCUGUCUCAAUUCUUUCUUGAACAUGUCUAUUGGUAUUCACCUUCUCCAGAAAGUUUUUUGGAUUGCCUAGCUAAUGCAGCUCUACAUUUCUAUAGUUCAAACCCCUAGCACUACAGUUUAUAAACAAAAAUAUCACAAAGGUUGGUUUGCUUGUCCUCAGCACAUAGUCAAUAGGUGUUUGGUGAGUGAAAAAGUUGUCAGUUGGGGCUAUUGACCUUCAGAGGGGAAACUGUUAUACCUGCUUGCUAAUAAUCUGAAACUGUCUAGCGUUAGUAGACAUUCUCAAUGCCUAUUAAUUAUUUUAAUUAUUUAAGAGUACGAAGAAAGAAGAGAAAAAAGAAAUAAAAAAGAAAGGGAAAGGGAAAGGAAAGGAAAAAGGAAAAAAAGACAAUUUAGUUGAGCAGGGUUGACAAAUCUCUCAAAGCAGGUCAUGGUGCAAAUUCUUGUGUGCCUGACACAGAAAAAUAAGUAGCUUACUAUUGACCAAUGGUAAUUUCAUUCUUAAAUUAAGACAUAGGCAAUGAAACGUAGACAAUAAGCAUAUUUUCUCCCUUUGAGUUCUACAUGCAUCAAAUGAAUCUUUGAGGGACAUUCCACCAGGCCAAAGUCUAGACUAAACAGGUGUAAAAAUGAGAACUAUUUUAAUUUUUAAAAAUUAAGAAUAGGCUGCAUGAAGUUACAGCAGAGAAAAGGCAAGGCAAAGAAUUAUAUCCUAAAGUAUGAAUCACAUGUGGCUUGAGUUUAUCCAUUUUUCAAGUUUAAUCCCUGAAUUGAACUAGAAUUCACUGUCUAUUAAUUUUAUUCUAAAAUCCUCCUGUAAUUUUAUAAGCCAGUUUUACAAGCUUUUGGUUUAAUUCAUAAUUGUGUAAGAAAAUUGUGGUGCUCGAAUCAUAUCAAAAACAAAUUUAAACCACCCAAUCCAAGCAACAAAAAACAAAAAGAUAGAGAAGGUACAGAAAGACAUAGAGAAAGAGACUGACAAAAAUGGGAAAGCAUCUAGAAUUCAUGUUUUGUAGGAACUUGGGCUGGAAAAAGAGGACUGAAGUGGAAUAUGAUUGAUAACUUCACAAAGUAGGCACAAAUUGGAAGUCAACACAGGUUGGCUUCAUUUCAAUAUUGAUAACUUUCAAAGCAUCAGAGCUGUGCAGCACCAGGCAGAAGGACCUCAUGGAGGAAGGCACACUCAUUACUGGAAAUGUUCAAACAGGGCCUGGGUGACCACCUCUCUGGGUGUUGGAUGGCCAAGACAUUGAGAAGACAUUCGAUGAAAUUUCUUCUAAUUUGUAGAUUCUAUAGAAUGUAGUAUCCCACAAAGGACAUGGGAAAACACCUCUCUAUUUCUUUAUUCUUUCCUUUUCUCAUAACCAAAUAGAAUUGAUAAAAUGCUAUCUUAGAAUGAAUAACAGAGAGUAUUAUGACACAUUUCAUAAGUAGCUAAAAUCUAUAAUACUCCAAACAGAAUAAAUGCUAGGUUCAAAUCCCUAAAUCAGAUGGAGAAAGGAAAAUAUCCAGGUCAAUCUUUUAUAAAAUUUAAAAUGUUAUAUUUGAUAUAUUGCUGAUUUUCUACCAUUUUAUUAGCUAUAAUGGUUAUUACAGUUAUAAGUUUUAAUAGGUCCAUAUGUAUAUAUGUAUAUAUAUGUAUGUAUGUUCUAAAAGAUGAGUUUAAGUGAUGCAGGACUUAUUAGUUCCGUAGAACAUAUUAACCAUUGCACUAUUUUUUAUACUUAUUAAGUAACUAAUUGUAUAUCAUAUGGAAAAGAAAAAAUAAUAAGAUCUAAAAACAGGUCUAACUGUCCAGAGACAGAAGGAGAUAGGUCCCACGGUGUUGACUUGUACCUUGUUAGGGUGUUUCACUAAGUAAUGCAUAUGGGGGUGUUUGAAAUACAUUUUCAAUUAAUUUAAAAGGUGUUUGUGUGCCUUUAAGGGAUCAAGGAUAGAAUGGUAAACACACUAUGUUAUUUUUUCACUAAGAGUCACAGUCAGUGGGAGAAACAGAUAGGUGAACCUAAAAUUACAGUACGUUAAGACAGACACAAUAAUAGAAGCACAUCGAAUUGCUGCAGAUCAGAGAGGAGGGGCAUGUAUUCAGAAAGGAAAGUCAGGAAGGCUUCAUGGAAAAUGUGAGAUUCGAGCUCCAAAUUUGGAAGAGUGAAUUCAUGUGCGCUACAUGAAGAGGAAUGAAAGGAUUCCAGCAGUAGAAUAAUUCAGAGGUAUCAAACAGUCUGAUACUGCCAGGUAACUGAUGCCCCAAGAAAGUGCUGGACCAGUCAUGAAAUGGAGAGUGAAGCAGAGGUAAGAUGGAAAAUUAAGUCAUAUAUGCAACAAAUCUCUUUUUAUGAUGCAUCUCAGGACAGAACAUUCUUCAUGGAUAGAAUUCUGUUCUACAUGGAAGUGGGCAGAUAAAUGGGGCAAACUGUGGUGGAAUGGCAAAGGAGGUAUUCAGUAUCCUGUUAAUUGUAAUCCGAUCUCCCCUGGAGAGAAAAUGAAGCUGCUCACCUUCAUGAUUUUGUCUGAAAUCUGGAUGAUCUUUUGCCUGGAUAAUGGUCAACACUCAAUUUGGCUUUGAAGAGUCAGGCCCACAAUCUCAAUUGUGAUAUAGAGGAGAGCCCACAUUUCUACUCAGAUUUUUGCUACAAAAAUAGAAUUCGUAUCUAAAAUAAUAAAGAAUUAAUUGAUAUCUCAUAUAAGUUGAAUCAUGCAAUAUCUGUCCUUCUGUGACUGGCUUAUUUUACUUAGCAUAACUCCCUCUAGGUUCAUCUAUUUCACCUAUAUGAUGUAUCUAAGAUACUUAAACGCAUAGAAGCUGAAAAUAGGAUGAUGGUUGCUAGAGGUUGUCAGGAGGGGAAGAAUGGGGAAUUGUUGCUUAACAGGUAUAAAAUUUCAAUUAUGAAAGAUGAAUAAGUUCUAGAAAUCUUCUGUACAACACAGUGACUAUAGGUAACAAUAUGGUAUUAGACACAGUAAUUUGUUAAGAGGAUAAAUCUCAAGUUGACUGUUCUUAUCACAAAAAAAACAACAUAAAAGACAAUGACAAAAACAAAACAUAAAAGAAUACAAGGGCAUUUUGGGAGGUGAUAGAUAUGUUUAAUAACUUGAUUUCAGUGAUGGUAUCUCUGGCUGCAUGAAUUGGUCCAAACUGAUCAAACUUGCAGUAUGGUUUUUCUGUAUAUUAAUUAUACCUCAAUAAAGCUGUUAAAAAUUAAUUCAUGCUGAUAUAAACUUUAAAAAAUUUGAGAUGCAAUUAAAAUACAAGAUUUAAAGAAAUGUGAACACUGGUUGAAAAUUGGUGAGAAAACAUCUAAUUCUGCCAGUCAUCUCUGUUUCUCAUUUAUGUCAUGCUACUUCUAUCUAGAUCAGAGCAAACUCAUUCUGAAACUGUCUUGAUUUUAGCUUCUGUCUUUCCAGGACCCAUCGCCAGGAGCUGCUUUCCACUUAUAGACACAAGUGGCUCACUCACUCUUCUAGGUGUUAGCUAGCAGGGGCAGAGCUUUCUCAGGUAUUUUAGCAUUCGUUGUGUUGGAAGGUCUCUGCUAUGUUCCUGAAAAUUCAUUUUAUCCCCUUUUUCCUUUGCUACAUAGAAAGAGGAAGAAACCGUUAUGUAGAUUGUUCUGUGUGAAUCCUCUUAUGAUUUUUAUCACCAUAAAACCUUUAUGAUUUUAUCACCAGCUUCCCUGCAGUUUCAUUUCACUUUUUUUUUUUACCUUAUUAGUGUGUUAUUGUUAAUUUAAAAAUAAAGAGAUGACUCACUCAUUAAACACUGCUCUGCUGGUUUAAUGUUCCCCUAGCAAUGGUCCUAAAAGGUUUCCAGAUCAUUUACAAACCUACAUCUGAUUCAAUCUGAUUUUAGUUACAGUCUGAGCUUAUUAUUACAUACAUUUUAAAGCAUAUUUAAACAUAGCAUCAUUUGUAGUUUAAAAACAGAGAUGUAAAAUAACUUUGAAAAGAGGAAACUGAAGCUUUGUAAUCAUGUAGAUACACUACCUGAAUGGCUUACUGAUAAUUUCACUUUUUAAGUACAUUUUACUAAAAUUAGUCCGGAUGUUUUUGUUUGGUUUGUAAGGUGUAUAACUAAGUGUCAGUUCCUUAAGGGAGUUCAGUCCUCAUGGAGUUUAUAAUCAAGUAAGAGAGUCAGGUGAAAUGAUGAAAUGAAAACACUCAUCAAAUAUAAAUGACGUUCUUUAAAUGCACCUCUGUUAGACUGACUCACUGAAAUCAAACCUUGCCAUUCCCUAGGGAACAUUUUCUAAUUUAUGGCCAGGACAUGCUGAAUGCUCACAGCUAGUAGAUUAUUUUUUACUAAGUCUGCAGUGAGGCACCUGCUUGCCAAGAAUUAGUUGUUGGUUCCCAAACCUAUUUAUGACAGUUGUAUUUAUUUUGGUAAUAAUAUAUUACAAGCAAAUAUUAUAGAAACUAACGACAUUGUGAAUAAAAGAGUGUCUUAUUUCUAUGAAGACUAAGUUGAAGUCUUUGGAAAGGUUAUAAUAAAGGUAAUAAAAAUAAUCAAAUUAUGUGUGGGCAAGAUGACUACAAAAGAUUAGAGAAAAUCUUAAAUUUUCAAAAGGUUAUAUACUCUGAUUAUUGUAAGAAUCUUUAGAUUUCCAUUGUAUUUAAAUAAAAUACUAAAGCCUAAGGAUUACUGCAAAUAAGAUGUCUUAAGACUUCAACCAGCAGAUUCAUUCUUUAAUUAAAAAAAGCCUUUGUUAUAUAUAAGUACAUUGGCAAAUGUAUACAUUUUUAGAUAAAAUAAAAAAAUUAAAACCUAUAUGUUUUUGACUUAUCCUUUUAACAAACUUUUAAAAUUAACUUACUAUUAGCUUUGCCCAUGUAUGCUAAGAGGACUUUUACAAUGACAAGUAAGAAGAAUACAUUGAUGAUACCUGUUUUGGUCCAGACAUUUCCAGAGCCAUGGAAUAGCAUGAAAAAAAAAAAAUCUUCGAAAUAUAAUUUAUUCCUUCGAAUUGGAGUCAAACUUAGAAGCAUCCAUCAAUGGAUGAAAGGAUAAAGAAAAUAUGGCAUAUAUAGACAAUGUAAUACUAUUCAGUCUUAAAAAAGAAGAAAAUUCUGGCGUUUGUGACAACAUGGAUGAACAUGAAG
rnacentral:lncRNA from 1 species